GACGAACGCUGGCGGCGUGCCUAACACAUGCAAGUCGAGCGGGGUUGAAGCGAGGGGUAACUCAAGCUUCUACCUAGCGGCGGACGGGUGAGUAACGCGUGGGCAACCUGCCUCAAGGUCUGGGAUAACGGCUCGAAAGGGCUGCUAAUACCGGAUAUGCCUAUGGCCUCGCAUGGGGCUAUGAGCAAAGGGGAAACCUGCCUUGAGAUGGGCCCGCGUCCCAUCAGCUAGUUGGUGAGGUAACAGCUCACCAAGGCGACGACGGGUAGCCGGCCUGAGAGGGUGACCGGCCACACUGGGACUGAGACACGGCCCAGACUCCUACGGGGGGCAGCAGUGGGGGAUCUUGCACAAUGGGCGAAAGCCUGAUGCAGCGACGCCGCGUGAGCGAAGAAGGCCUUCGGUUGUAAAGCUCUGUCUGGAGGGACGAAGGAAGUGACAGUACCUCCGGACGGAAGCCACGGCUAACUACGUGCCAGCAGCCGCGGUAAAAGUC
rnacentral:rRNA from 1 species